GGAGACUCUGGUGGAGAACUCGGGGGAGGGGGAGGUAAACCAGCAAGUAGACGAGCUCAGGGUAGAAUAAGGAGAGAGUUGAGUGAGAUGCUGAGAGAGAUGGGAAGGAAGCAGGUCAGGACUGAGGAGAGGUAACUAACCAGGUGGUAGACAUAAAAUAGUUUAAGUGGUUAAAUAAGUUAUGAGGCUGUCAGGGACUAAGCCAAAACUUAUGGCCUAGGUAUUUAUUAAAAAAUAAUUAGUCUCACAGUCGUCAUUCCGGAAUCAGGAUUGGGAAGGAAAAAAAAUGGAUUUAUUUUAUUACAAAGUGCCUCCUGCAAAGAGAAGGUGUCGGGGAAACAACCCAGGCAGCAAGCUGGCAGGCAGAGUAUAAGGCUGUUCUCCAAGGGAUGGUGUCGCUGGGAUGCUCCUUCAAAUGCUAUCACAGGAGUGAGGACUAAGCUGAGGAAGAGGUGAGCUGGCUGAGUGAUGAGCUCGGGCUACCUGAGGUUCUCAACACAGACUGAAAGCCAGAAGCUCUCCAGACCCUCCAGGACUCCAGUACCAGAUCAGAAUGGCAGAGACAUCCAGCCUCCUGGACUGAAUGACUACCAGAGUAUCAGCCCUUCCACCAAGAGAGUCAUCGUGAGAGAGACCACAGCCUGUGGUGCCAUCCGUGAGCCCGAGGCUCCUUAUGGUAUGAGAAAUCAGACUGAGCAAGCCAUGGAGAGCAAUCCAAAUCCAGUGUCUGCGGAUCCACAGCUCCGUGGGUAAAAGCACUGACUGCUCUUGCAGAGGCCCGGGAUUCAUUCACAGCACCCAGUUCCAGAGGAUCCUCACCCUCUUCUGACCCCCACGGGCACCAGACACACAGGCAGUGCAGAUGCACACAGAGAAAAACAUACACAUAAAGUAAAAAUAAAUAAAUCUUCGAAA
rnacentral:lncRNA from 1 species